rnacentral:rRNA from 1 species
AGUGAACGCUGGCGGUAGGCCUAACACAUGUAAGUCGAACGGCAGCACAGUAAGAGCUUGCUCUUACGGGUGGCGAGUGGCGGACGGGUGAGUAAUACAUCGGAAUCUACUUUUUCGUGGGGGAUAACGUAGGGAAACUUACGCUAAUACCGCAUACGACCUACGGGUGAAAGCAGGUGCUCUUCGGACCUUGCGCGAUUGAAUGAGCCGAUGUCGGAUUAGCUAGUUGGCGGGGUAAAGGCCCACCAAGGCGACGAUCCGUAGCUGGUCUGAGAGGAUGAUCAGCGACACUGGAACUGAGACACGGUCCAGACUCCUACGGGAGGCAGAAGUGGGGAAUAUUGGACAAUGGGCGCAAGCCUGAUCCAGCCAUACCGCGUGGGUGAAGAAGGCCUUCGGGUUGUAAAGCCCUUUUGUUGGGAAAGAAAAGCAGCAGGUUAAUACCCCGCUGUUCUGACGGUACCCAAAGAAUAAGAACAGGCUAACUUAGUG